CNCUNGCGGCAUGCUUAACACAUGCAAGUCGAACGGUAACAGGCCGCUGUGAUCCCUUCGGGGUGAACUUGGCGCUGACGAGUGGCGGACGGGUGCGUAACGCGUGGGAAUCUACCUUGUAGUGGGGGAUAGCCCGGAGAAAUCCGGAUUAAUACCGCAUAAUCUCUACGGAGCAAAGUGGGGGAUCUUCGGACCUCACGCUAUUAGAUGAGCCCGCGUUAGAUUAGCUUGUUGGUGAGGUAAUGGCUCACCAAGGCAACGAUCUAUAGCUGGUUUGAGAGGAUGAUCAGCCACACUGGGACUGAGACACGGCCCAGACUCCUACGGGAGGCAGCAGUGGGGAAUAUUGGACAAUGGGCGCAAGCCUGAUCCAGCAAUGCCGCGUGUGUGAAGAAGGCCUGAGGGUUGUAAAGCACUUUCAAUAGAGACGAAAAGCUCAGGGUUAAUACCUCUGAGUCUUGACUUAACCUAUAGAAGAAGCACCGGCUAACUCCGUGCCAGCAGCCGCGGUAAU
rnacentral:rRNA from 1 species